rnacentral:rRNA from 1 species
UACGGAGGAUCCAAGCGUUAUCCGGAUUUAUUGGGUUUAAAGGGUGCGUAGGCGGAUAAAUAAGUCAGUGGUGAAAGCCUGCAGCUUAACUGUAGAAUUGCCAUUGAUACUGUUUAUCUUGAAUGCAGUUGAGGUGGGCGGAAUAUGACAUGUAGUGGUGAAAUACUUAGAUAUGUCAUAGAACACCGAUUGCGAAGGCAGCUCACUAAGCUACGAUUGACGCUGAGGCACGAAAGCGUGGGGAGCAAACAGGAUUAGAAACCCCUGUAGU